rnacentral:rRNA from 1 species
AUAUUCCUACGGGGGGCAGCAGUGGGGAAUAUUGCACAAUGGGGGGAACCCUGAUGCAGCGACGCCGCGUGGGUGAAGAAGUCAUUCGUGACGUAAAGCCCUAUCAGCAGGGAAGAAAAUGACGGUACCUGACUAAGAAGCCCCAGCUAACUACGUGCCAGCAGCCGCGGUAAUACGUAGGGGGCGAGCGUUGUCCGGAAUCACUGGGCGUAAAGGGCGCGUAGGCGGUAAUAUAAGUCAGAUGUGAAAGGUGGGGGCUCAACCCCUAGAGUGCAACUGAUACUGUAUAACUUGAGUGUGAGAGG